rnacentral:rRNA from 1 species
UACCUGGUUGAUCCUGCCAGUAAUCAUAUGCUUGUCUCAAAGAUUAAGCCAUGCAUGUCUAAGUACAUGCCGAAAUAAGGCGAAACCGCGAAUGGCUCAUUAAAUCAGUUAUGGUUCCUUAGAUCGUUUCUUCCUACUUGGAUAACUGUGGCAAUUCUAGAGCUAAUACAUGCAGUGAGCCUGAAGCCCUUUGGGCGACGGGUGCUUUUAUUAGACCAAGAUCGAUCGGGUUUCGGCCCGUAUUGUGUGGUGACUCUGGAUAACUUUGUGCUGAUCGCAUGGCCACGAGCCGGCGACGUUUCUUUCAAGUGUCUGCCUUAUCAACUUUCGAUGGUAGGUUACUUGCUUACCAUGGUUGUUACGGGUAACGGAGAAUCAGGGUUCGAUUCCGGAGAGGGAGCCUGAGAAACGGCUACCACAUCCAAGGAAGGCAGCAGGCGCGCAAAUUACCCACUCCCGGCACGGGGAGGUAGUGAUGAAAAAUAACAAUACGGGACUCUUUUGAGGCCCCGUAAUUGAAAUGAGUACACUCUAAAUCCUUUAACGAGGAUCAAUUGGAGGGCAAGUCUGGUGCCAGCAGCCGCGGUAAUUCCAGCUCCAAUAGCGUAUACUAAAGCUGCUGCGGUUAAAAAGCUCGUAGUUGGAUCUCAGUUCCAGACGAGUAGUGCAUCUACCCGAUGCGACGGCUCGGACUGAACAUCAUGCCGGUCCUUUCUUGGUGCACUUCAUUGUGUGCCUCGAGAAGGCCGGUGCUUUUACUUUGAAAAAAUUAGAGUGCUCAACGCAGGCGAGUCGCCUGAAUAAACUUGCAUGGAAUAAUAGAACAAGACCUCGUUUCUGUUCUGUUGGUUUUUGGAAUACGAGGUAAUGAUUAAGAGGGACAGACGGGGGCAUUCGUAUUGCGGCGCUAGAGGUGAAAUUCUUGGACCGUCGCAAGACGAACUACUGCGAAAGCAUUUGCCAAGAAUGUUUUCUUUGAUCAAGAACGAAAGUCAGAGGUUCGAAGGCGAUCAGAUACCGCCCUAGUUCUGACCAUAAACGAUGCCAACCAGCGAUCCGCCUGAGUUACUCAAAUGACUCGGCGGGCAGCUUCCGGGAAACCAAAGUGUUUGGGUUCCGGGGGAAGUAUGGUUGCAAAGCUGAAACUUAAAGGAAUUGACGGAAGGGCACCACCAGGAGUGGAGCCUGCGGCUUAAUUUGACUCAACACGGGAAAACUUACCCGGCCCGGACACUGGGAGGAUUGACAGAUUGAGAGCUCUUUCUUGAUUCGGUGGAUGGUGGUGCAUGGCCGUUCUUAGUUUGUGGAGCGAUUUGUCUGGUUAAUUCCGAUAACGAACGAGACUCUAGCCUAUUAAAUAGGUGCGGGGUUCCCAGCACCUUACAACCUUCUUAGAGGGACAAGCGGCUCCUAGCCGCACGAAACAGAGCAAUAACAGGUCUGUGAUGCCCUUAGAUGUCCGGGGCCGCACGCGCGCUACACUGAAGGAAGCAGCGUGUCUUUAUCCCUGUCUGAAAAGACUGGGUAACCCGUGGAACUUCUUUCGUGAUUGGGAUAGGGGCUUGCAAUUGUUCCCCUUGAACGAGGAAUUCCCAGUAAGCGCGAGUCAUAAGCUCGCGUUGAUUACGUCCCUGCCCUUUGUACACACCGCCCGUCGCUACUACCGAUUGAAUGAUUUAGUGAGGUCUUCGGACCGAUGUCCGGCGCGGCCUUUCGGUUGCGCCGGUCUGUUGGAAAGAUGACCAAACUUGAUCAUUUAGAGGAAGUAAAAGUCGUAACAAGGUUUCCGUAGGUGAACCUGCGGAAGGAUCAUUA